rnacentral:rRNA from 1 species
UACGUAGGGUGCAAGCGUUAAUCGGAAUUACUGGGCGUAAAGCGUGCGCAGGCGGUUGUGCAAGACAGAGGUGAAAUCCCCGGGCUUAACCUGGGAACGGCCUUUGUGACUGCACGGCUAGAGUGUGUCAAAGGGGGGUAGAAUUCCACGUGUAGCAGUGAAAUGCGUAGAGAUGUGGAGGAAUACCGAUGGCGAAGGCAGCCCCCUGGGAUAACACUGACGCUCAUGCACGAAAGCGUGGGGAGCAAACAGG